AUCCAGCUGAUAAGUACAAAAUAAGAUGAAACGCGUGUCCUGGAU
rfam:Schistosoma mattheei strain Denwood, Zambia genome assembly, scaffold: SMTD_scaffold0000152